GACCUUGAAGUCAGGAGUCAGUUGCUCUAGCAACUGAGCCACCCAGGCACCUCCGUUUUGUGUGUGUGUGUGUGUGUUUUUUUAAGUGUGAGGGUUUUUCUUUAUCGUGCAUUCUCCAGUAAUAACUUGUGACCACUGAGUUCUCACCCUUGACUGUAAACUCCAUGAAACCAGGAACUCUAUCAUUUAAUCUACUGCCUGGAAUAGAGAAGGUCAUCAAUAAAUAUUUGCUGAAUGCAUAUAUGUUUCUCUUGUACAAUAUGCUCAAAAUGUCAUGUGAGCAAAUGCCUUUACUAUGACAUAAGAGAACUUCAGGACACAUUUUAGUGAUGAAUGAAGUAAAUUGUAAAAACAAUUCUCAUGUUACUCUCUUGAAAACAUUAACUUGUUGUUCCCCAUUUUGUUCUGUUCUUCUUUUUUAGUGCUACAGCAUAGGAUUGUGGGUGUGGGCUCUGCAACCACAGAGCAACACUCCCUGGUUUCAAAUCCAGACUACAUUACUGAGUAGCUGUGCAGAAAUAAAUUAACCAUUGUGUUUCUCAAUUUUCUCAUGUGUAGAAUGGUUAUAAUAGUAACACCUAUCUCACAGAGCUCUUUGUUGAUGGUUAAAUGAGCUAAUACUUGAAUGUACUUAGAAUAGCGCCUGGCACACACUACGAGUGUUAGCUCUUCUAGCUCCUUCCCUGGGCCAGCCUAUGCUAGUUAUCCUAUCAUCCUAUUCUGAGAUCUAGGAUGAAUGGUCUCUCUUGUGGCCUUCUGGUUUCUGGAGAAGCGGGCAAAGUCCUGGCUUUGCUUUCGUUCACCAGAUUUGCCCUCCAGUUUUGAUUCUGUUCUUUCUGCAGCCAUGUGACUGGCAUGUGGGCAGCACAUCCAGAGCUCUGGGUGCUGGAAUCGCUCUCCGACACUUCCUGGUUAUGAGCAGUUUCCCAGUGGUGAGUUUCCUGUCAGGAAGCGAUCUCUCUGUCCUCUCCUGCCUAUCUCCUUCCCGGAGCUCUUCUCUCCUAAAUUAGUAUAUUCUAUAUCCUGUCCUAUGAUUUCUCCUGAAAGUCUUUUGCUCUUCACAACUCCCUCUCCCCAAGUUCUCAAGCCACCUAGCCUGAUCUAGAUGAUAUAUCUGUAUCCCUUCUCCACUUUCCUUUCCCAAGUCACCGCCCCUCCCUCCAGGGACACAGUGUAGUCCCCUCUGGGGAAUGUUCUCUUCGAGUCUCAGACACGUCUGUGGGUGUAUGCAAGGUAUUUGAAUGUUGCCUAGAAUAAGAAAAGAUCACCCACCUCCCUGACUGCAAAAAACAACAAUAAUAGUAAAAUGAGGACAACCCAGGGCUCUUGAAUAGCAGAACCAAUUUCCAGAGCCUCCAUACCAAGUAGUGCCUAGCGCUUAGUAGGGCCUCCAUAAAGGUGUGUGGAACACUGAACUGGCUCAGCCUCUAGGCCAGGCCACGGUCUGGAAAGGACAGCCUUCUAGCGCUCUUGACUUCACUUAAUUCUGGGGAUCAGGCCCCACCCUGUUUGGUUAACUUGACCUGUACCUGUGAGAAACUGCAAAUAUUUCACUGCAGGUUCCUACCAUAUCUGAGGAAAUGUUUAUUUCCUGUCCACCGCUAGCAUAAUCCAGCAAUAUUAAAAAAAAAAAAAAAAUAGGGUAGCUAGAGACAGCCAUGAAAAGAAGGAAAAAAAUGAGUGGUCACUUGCUCACCAGAAAGCAAACACAUAAAAAGAAGGAAGAAAAUGUGGUUAUUGCUAACAAGUGGCACAAACUCCCAGUUCCUUCUUUUAUGCUUCUGUCCAUAGGCAGCUGUCUCCCAUGCCCUUCUCUUACUGGGCGUCUCUCUCACAUGACCAUCACUGACUGAUGUGACUCUGGGCUCUCUGAGACAGAAACACCAGGAAGGUGAUUUGCUUCUGGCCUUCCCUCUAGACUCCCCCACAUCAAAAGGCCCAUAUCUGCUAAGUCUGAGACUGGGAGGGGAAGAGAUUGAAAUGUUCUCCCCUUCUGUACAGAUUCCUCAUUCAACCUGGCUGAUUUUUUUUGUUUUUUGUUUUUUUUUUUUUUUUGGAGAGAGAUAGUGAAGGAGAGGGAGGAUGGGGAAUGGGUUGAGAGAAUUUGAGAGAAAAAGAUAAGGAAAAGGAGAGGGAGGGAAAGUGGGAGUUACAUCAUAUCUGUGCAUCUGACUUUUAGAAUUUUUAAGAGCAAAUUUUUGUGUGUCCUCCUUAGAAUUCCAUACGAUGUGAAAUUUGAGACAAGAUGUAUAUAAAGUGUAUAUUUGGAAGGUCAUACGAUGAAGAUCAAAGGUUAUUUAAAUGAGGGGUGGGAGUUGCCUCUUGGUGGUUACUAAAUCUCUACUGUGUAUUUUUAGAGCUUUCAUUGAAUCUUAAGAUAAGGUGAGGAAAACAGGAUUUCUUAAGUAUUGAUAAGUGGCAAUUUAACAAUCUUUGUGAUAACCAUCAAAAAGUUUCCUUGAACAAAGUUAUCUUGCUAAGAGUUUUCAAACUGUGCCCUUGGGUGUUAAGGGAGAGGGAACUGAAUGGUGGGGUUGGCACCGGGGUGUCUGAGGCAUGCUGCCCACUGGCAAGGAUUCGGUGCACCUCUUACAAGUCUUCAUUCGUGAUACCCAAGAUGGGAGCAUUUAUACCACAGAAAGCAGCAUUUAUACCUCCAAAUCAGUGUUUCUCAGAGAGCCCCUUGUUAAACGUUUACCAGCACACCCCUGCUUUUAUUUGUAUUUGUAGAUAAUGUCUGUGUAAAAUACAGCUUUUGAAAAAGUGUUUGGCCUGAAGCAAGUUUGAACCUGAUGCCUCAGUUGGGGUUUUCUCUUCCUUUCUGAGUAAAAUGCAUAGUGAAUAUUAUCCACAUUUUCCUCAACUUGUGCUAGGGUUAAGUCCUGAUAAAGCCAUCAGAAGUCAAAAGUACAUAUAGUGCACCCGAUCUACUGAGCAUCACAGUUUAGCCACACCUACCUUAACCGUGCUCAGAACACUUAGAUUGGCUUACAGAUGGGCAAAAUCCUGUAACACAAAGCCUAUUUGAUAACAAAACAGUUGACUGUAUGAUGAAAUUUAUUGAAUACUGUGCUGAAGGUGAACACCAGAAUGGUUGUAUGGGUGCAGAGUGGUUCUGUACAAGUGUCCAUUGUUUACCCCCUCCCCCACCGAUGGAUGGCGGGGCCAACUGGGAGCUGGGGCUGCUGCUGCCCAGCGUCACGAGGGUCACGGGAGAGUCGCGUGCUGCAUAUCCCUAGACCAGGAAGAGAUUGAAAUCAAAAUUGGAAGUUCGGUUUCUACUGAACCAUGCACCAUGCAUGGUAAAGUAAAGAAACCAUUAAGUCAAACCACUGUAAGCUGGGGGCCAUCUGUAAUUUGAAGAACUAUUAAUCAUUUUAUUAUUUUUAUACCACUUUUUUUCAGAGAUCACAGUGAUUUUAUUUUGCUAAAACUAUAGCAGUUAUAUGACAUACCUUGAGCUUUCUAAUAAAUCUGCAUAAAAUGACUGCAUCAGGUACUUAAAAAUGUUUUAAGAUAAAUCAAAAGAAAGAAAGAUCUUUGGUUGUGGGCUUGGGGUUUAGUAAAUGUAGCCUUUAUUGGGUUAGUCAGCUGAGUAAAUUACAGAAAUGGAUGUGUUCCAGAAAAUUGCCACUCCUUUAUGUUUUAUGUGCCAGGGAGCAGUAUUAAUAUUUCUUUAAGUUCUGAUUAACAUUUUUGUUCUUUUUGGAUUGUGGUAUUGGAAUACGGUAUUGAUUUCUUCCCCACUACUUUUGACUUCCUGGCUGUUUUUUCCUUGCAUGUUUUUUUUUGUAGUGGCACUUUUUGUAAAGUGGCACUUUACUUUUUGUAAACUUGCACUUUGAGAACUUUGAUGGUCAAGCCCAUGAACAAGAAACGUUGGUGAUUUAAGCCUUAGAUCACUCUCCUCAGGUCUCCCCCCACUCCUCUCAGUGCUCCUUUCUCAGGCUUUGUUGGGUCAGAUUUUGGGUCACUAUUCAGGCUAUUUUUUUGGUCUCUUAUCCCAGGAGGCUAGCUGGUUUAAGGCAUGGAAGAUGCCAAGAUCUGAGCUGAGCUUAAGGGAAGGGAGGGAACUCAUUUUGAGUUAAGCCUAAACCAUGUGCUUGGUCUAUAAUCAGAGAGCUCGGCCUUGGGGUUUUAGGUGUAUGGUUCUUUGACUUCCUUUUCUCAUCACUUUUAAACUUCUUCCCCAGGGCCUGUGGAGAGAAGAUGUGGUUGUACCAUGCAGGAACUGGGUACUUUGGAGUCCUUUGGCUUCGUAGCAUGCCCAUUAUUCCAAUGAGGGUCUCCAGUUGUGGUUGUCUGGUUUUGAACUGCUGUUACCUGCCCUCAACCUCUCCGUGGCCAGGCUCUAAUGAAGAGCAUCUUUUUCUGAUGUAUACAAAGGAACUUUGGACACAGAGACUUCCAUAGACAUAAGAUGAUGUGAAGAGACAGGGAGAAAACAGCCAUCUGCCUCCCAAGGAAAAGAUGCCAGGAACAGAUCCUUCUCUCACAGCCCUUAGAAGGAAACAACCUGCUAACACCUUGAUUUUGGUCUUCUAGUUUCCAGAAAAGGAUGCAAUAAAUUUCUGUUGUUUAAUCCCCUCAGUCUUUGUGUGGUGCAUUAUUAUGGCAACCCUGGAAGGCUGGUACAGGGGCUAAGACAUCUUUUGUAUGGACUAGUCCUACAAGAAGAUAAGGUCCCAAUGCUAUUUUGGAGGGCCUGAGCAGACUUCUUAUUUUCCUUGUAGGUAGAGAAUAAUCAAAUAUAAGUAACAGAUAUUUUUUUCAAGAAUUUUGAACAAACUGAAAAUAAAUGUAGUCCAAGGAUUUGGGGUUAAUGGUGUAAGACCCCUGAAUGGCUAAUUCAUGGCAAGUUAAGACUUGGUACACAGUAGAAUUAAGUUGUCUUCUGUGCUUUCAAAUAAAUGACUUCUUUAACAUAAGACAUUAUUAUCCAAAAUGAAUUUUCAACUCAAUCCAAAUACUUAAUGAUGGUGGUAACAAUGGUAGAGUCAUUUGUGCUUAAGGACAUUUGGACACCCUUGGGACCAAAAGAAAUUAGACUGAGCUGAAGUGUUUUAAUCACAAUUAAAGAUGUAUCCAAUGACACUUGGUUCAGAUUUCAUCAGAUGCACAGUUAUUUUGGCAUAAACAAUUUAGUGGAAAAUAUGGUAGGAUAAGAAGAAAAAGUUUUUUUUAAUUUUUCCAGGCAGAUGAAUUUAAAAAAUUUCUUUGUAAGAGACUUUCUGCAUUAUAACUCGUUUGCUCAUAUUCUUUGUGUAUAAAUAAUUUAUUUGCAUACUAACAAAGGGAGUGAUUUAUUUUUCCUAAAUUUCUCCCCUUUCUCUCGUAGCACUGGAUGUCGUGCUCGCACUACUCUGUUGAGAAAGUCAGUCGUUUGUGCAACUGCCUUCCUGGCACAGUGACUGCCUAGAGAGCUCGCUUGGUUUCUUAGUGUUUCCUUAGAAGCCAUUAUUUGAUAUUUAUUUAAUUCUGCUAAUCUAGAGGCGCUUCAGCAAGCAAAAGUUAUCCAGAAGAUCAGCUGUUUCUUUCUUUGAUGAAUGCUUAUUGUUUGUAAAUGAAAUUCAUAGGUGAAAACAAAUCCUUAAAAAAUUAUAUACUAUUAUUAGAUAAUGUUUUUUUUUCAAAGGAAACCAGUGAUCAGGAGGUAUUUUCUCUUUGGUUGUGACUUGAAGACAGUUCAGACAUAUUUAACUGUAAUUUUGGUAGCCACAUUUGAGUAGGAAAUAGUAUACAAGACAUUUCAUUGCAUGUGGUAAGUGUAUCAGAAAUCUCUUUUGUGCCACCUCAGAUGCUUUGCCUGUCUUGCUGGAGCUCUGGACGUCUCCCACUGCAGUUGCUGGGUGGUGACUGACUUGGUAUGGCUCCAGGAUCUAAUAGAUGGGAGCGUGCUGAUGGGUAAUUUAUCUUUCUACCCCUUGACGGACUGUUCUGAGGAAAGCUUUCUCUAUAGCUUAUCCUGGGAGACUGUCUCUUUGUGAAGGGGCUAAUUUUGAAAGACAAUAUCUUGCAUUUGCUUCCCAGUCUUACCUGCCUCAGCUCUCUUUUCCAUUACCACCCUCACCUGGGAUUCCAUCUCCUUAUGAAGCUUAGAAUUUAAGCCUCAACCAGGCUCAAUUUUCCAGGGCAUUUAUUCCAGGACUGUAAAAGUUCUGUAAGUGUUUAGUAAAUUGAAAUGAAGAAAAAAUAGAGUCUGGGCUAAACGGGGGCUUUUGUUUAAUCAUUUUCAUCUUUCUGUGCUUCAGAAGCGCUUGGUCUGCGCCUCUUGACCCAGUCACCUUGUGGAUUAGUAGGGGUGGUGCCUGGAAAAAAAAACAACCAACAUAUUAAAGUCUAUUUCACUGAUAGUAAGGGGUCUACCAGAUGAAUUGAAGAGAAGUUGCAUUUCCAAAAGCCUGUUUUAAUAAGGGAAGAGGAAGGGCAAAUGAUUCAGAGUGAGAAUAGUCCAGACUGGGGGCCCGAAGCCCAUCUUUCCUCAGAAACACAGUGUACUUCUAGAUAAGUCAUGGUUGCCUUCUCUAGGUACUUUCCCUGUUAGAAAAACCCCUAUGUCAUUUCUGGCCUUCAUUCUUCCUUAAGAAGAAACGGAAGUGUUUCUCCAGUGUCUUUUCAGUUUCAUUGAAUUUAUGAUUGAUGUGUAUAUGAGACUUGAAAGACUGAAAAUGUGAAGCUUCUGUUAAAAGGUCAAAAGGAAAUUAUUAUUAUUGUUAUUUACCACUCUCUUGCCUUUAGUAACUGGGAGUUGUUAGAAAUUUCAUAGUAACUAAAGGAAAAUUGUUUCAGACAUUCAAGAUGUUAAAAAAAAAAAAGAUACACAGCCUCUGUUGUAUAUUUUAGUGCAUGUUGGUACCCAGGGCCAAGACCUUUGUGGUCUUGGGAAGAAAUGUAGACAUUAUUACUACUUUUAUUGCCAUAACUGUUAUUAAUAAUAAAGAGGAUUGUUACAGAAAUGAAAAUAAGGAGGCACCAGCUAUGCUGACCUGUAUGAAACCUUUUGCAAUUUAAUGAAAAAAGACAAGAAGAGAUAACAUUUAGAGUAUUAUCUAUUUUUGUGUGUGUAUAUGAAAUUGGGGUCAAGCAACUAUAUCUGCAGGUAACAUCUUUAAGGACUAUGUAAUCGAUCAAAUCCAUAGUAAAUGAGGAAAAUUCUAAUUUUGUAUAAUUUGGCAACUGAAAAGUAUGAAAAGGAAAGCUGUGUUGGGAACUUUAAAAAACUCCUGAAAGGUCUGCUUUUAUCAAGAUACAUGUUGGGGAGGUUUAUUAUAAAUCAACUGAUCAGACCAUGACUCAUCUUCAGGGAUGUUACUGGAAGUGGCUAUUUGGAUCUUACCAUCACUGGAGGUAAUGCUUGAUCUUGUCACUGACCAUAAAGAUGUUUCAAAAGCAGUGACAUAAGCUGCACUCAGUAGAACCCACCAAGGCCACUGCAGGAGCAGUGUAUUUAAGUGUUUAGUCCAGCAAAGACAUGAUGUUCAUCUUGUCUUUACUUCUGCUGUAAGGGCAGACAUGAAGAAACAUUCAUUUUGGCUAACAUAAAGUCAUUACAAAUGAGGCAAGAGAGCAGUGGAGUGUAAAGCAAGCCGCCAGUCCCUAUUAGUGGGAAAAUUAAGAGAAGUUGCGGUGCUUCAUGUUUGUGGAUGUGGAAGGAACAGGAUUCACAUGUGCAUUCAUCGCCGCCAUUUGUAGACUGGCAGGAAUCCUGGACUGGCACGGCUGACCUGGGGUGGCCGUGGGGAUUGUGCUUCCAGGCUGCAUCAAUGUGGGGGGGGGGGGCUUCUAAAUGCCAUAUGUGGGGCAGAGAAGGAGUGUAAGCAAUAGGUAACACUAACAGGUUUUGGGUUCAGAUAGAGGAGAAAAAAAGUAGAGGAAAUAAAAUGUAAAGGCUGAUCAUCCAACCCAGACUCCUCUUCAGUGAAGAAAUCCCUUUCAUUGUGUCCUGAAAAAAACCACAGUCAAUAGUAUAGCGCAGGGGGACCCUAAUGUCAGUCUGGGGAUUGGCUGCAUCAGAAUUUUCUAGGGAGCUUUAGAAAUACACUGCCCAGACGUUCUGAUUCACUAAUCUGAAGUAGGAUUUGGGAUUCUGUAUUUCAAAAAAAUCUCUCCAAGGGAUCCUUCUAGCCAGUCAUGUUUGGGAAUUCCUGAACUUUAUUUAAGCACCAACAGUAACGCUGAGCUCGUUACUAUUUCGUUCCUGGUUGACCAAUGUGAUUAUAAGUUGUUAUCUUAUUUCAAACCCAAAUCUGCAUCUUCAAAAUUUCCACCCAUUUUUUUUUAAAUUCUUCCUGGAAUUCUUGGAGUAAUUUAAAAGUCUUGGGUCAAGUUGGAGAACUUGAAUUUGUGAUGGACCUCGUCAUCAUAGAUUUAUGAUCUUAACCAGCAGCAAGGUAAUAUUGGAGCAAAGAAUAUGAAUGAUGAAUCGACUCAGAUAUGGGGAUUGGAAGAUCAGCGAACUGAAGAAUUUUAGGAUGCUGGAGAGGGUAAAGUUGAAAUGACCAUACAUUACCGGGGGACUGUUGAGGCCUUCAGAGCAAGUGUGGACUGGGUAUGGGGAGCUGCCAAAGGACUAAGAGGUCAAAGGGUAGACUCGGCUGAUGGGGGAGAUUCAGUAUAGGCUGGGCUGGUAGUUAACUAGCCUGCCACUGAUUUCCCAGGCCUGGAUGCAGUAGGUUCUCAAUAGGUGUUUAUUGACUGACUGACGAUGGCAAAAGGCAGAUAGAGAGGUGAGGAUGGAAGAAGAAAGUGAGGAGACUGUAUCAGAAAAUAAUUGACUAGAAAUCUUAGAGGUGAAAAGUUCUUAGCAGUGGGAAAACCCAAGUUGGGGCUAAAGUGUGAUGGAGUUGAAAGUGACAGCAGUUGAGAAAGGUUGUGGUUGUCAUCAUGGGUGAUUCUGUUACUGAGAAUUAUGGCCAAAGAUUGGGGAGAGUAAUUGUCACUAAGAUGUGAGCUAAGUGUUUGGAGAUGAUACAGACAUGAAAUAGAAAUGGCAAAGGGCAUGAGAAAUGGCAGAGAGCAUGAAGUGUGAGGGCCUGGCUCUGUCUUAUGGGUGAGUUUGGGCAUGUCCCACAUCCAUUCUGGACCUCUGUAUUCUUUUGAGUUAAUAACAUCUUUUCUACCUCUCAUUCAGAGUUGUUGGAAGCUUAUAUGAGAUACAGUGAUAGGUUUGUAAAAGUCACUUUGAAAGGUUAGAUGAUCUCAAAGGACUGUCCUAGUUUUGAGAUCAUCAACAUAACUAUUCCAGUUAGUUAUUACAACAUAUUGAUAUUAUGAUAUGUGACAAAAUAUGUAUGUAUGAUAAAGCUACAGUUGAACUUGAAAGAAAAAUAUCUAAAACUAGUACUCUAGCACAAGUAGCCAAACAACAAUUAAGCUAAAUGACUUCUAUCUCUGAAAUUAAUAGGUCAAGUUUGAGGAAGAUGAUUCUAAUAUUUCUUUUUCUUUCAUCAAGCACCUGCUGGCACUUUUUGAAAGAUCCAGAAAUCUACAUGUUGGACAUGAAUCUUGCUGUUGCUGUAAAUGCACCUUCCACAACUUGAUUUUCUGUAAUAUCCAUUACUCAAGUAAAACUAUGUUGCAACUAAAUGCUGCUUUGAUGCUGAUACUUCAUUUUCAAAUUUAUUACAAUUAGUUAUAAUUCUAUAACUCUAUAAAUUCCAGUGAGUAGGCAGUUUUCCAUAAUGUUUCUUUACAUCUCUCUCUCUCUUUUUUAAAAGUAAGCUCUAUGCCCAAUAUGGGGCUUGAACUCACGACCUCCAGAUCAAGAGUCGCAUGCUCUACCAACUGAGCCAGUCAGGUGCCCCUAUGUAUCUCUUGAACCAUGGCUCCUCUUUUGACUUUGGAAUAUUCAAAACUCAGCACCCAAUCUAGGAGGAAGAUUGCAGUUAAAAAGAUGAGUCUAUACAGUUCUUACAUUGGCUUUACUUUCUACAUUAUUGUUUCUGCUGUGGAGCACAAUCUCAAAGUCUCACGUAUAUCCAAAGUUGGAUUCAGGUAUGGUUUCUAUUAAGUGGUCUCUUGCCCCUCAUUUCUAACACAGUAUUUGCAGCUAGUCCUUUAGGACGUUCAAAAGCUUAAAAUAUGUUCUUUUGGUAAAAGAAGGAGAUAUUCCCAGAUUCAUAGUGUUCUUCCUUGAAGUGUACUUGAGAGAAACUGGAAGUCCAUUUCCAGGAGUCUAGUCUGUGGCAGAGGCAUUAUUUAUGGCCUAAGAACAUCAUAAAUACUGUAGGUUCUUUAUAUAAACCUUUACUGAGUGGUGUUGGUUCUAAGAAGUAGAGGCUAGAGGUGAAGAGAGGAAAAACAUUCUUCUGAGAAGGAUGAGGUCACUGUUCCAGCAUUUGGAAGGGUUUUUAUCAAUUUACAACUAACGCAUGUCUAAUGAUAAUUACCAUGCACAUGUAUUACUCUUAGCAAAAUAAGAUACAAAGCAAGGGGCUGCGAGUUAUUCCAAAUUCUCUUGCUAAAGAAAUAACAAAUACAGAAAACUCAGGGGAACCUUGUACCUAACAGAUGAACCUAUUUGGUUCAGCUAGAUUUCCCAGAACAGAACUGGGAGAACUGUUUUCUUUGCUUUGAAUUACAGAGAUUGAAAGUGGAAUGAUGUACAUAGUGGCUUGCAGAAAAGGAGACUAACCAAUGGAGAGAUGGUUUUAGAACAGUAGAAUGGGAAUAUUUUAUAUUACUUUGGCAUUUUUCCUGGGCCCCCCAUUGCUGUAAUAUGACUGCACCAUUUCCUUAUUCUGUUUUGCUCAAAGUUUUGCCUACUAUAUAUUAUGGAUUAAAUAGUGUCUCCCAAAAAGGAUUUGUUGAAGUCCUAACCCCCAGGUCCUCAGAAUAUUUGGAAAUAGGUUCUUUGUAGAGGCAACUGAGUUAAAAUGAGAUCAUUAGACUGGGCCCUAAUCCAAUAUGACAAAUGUCCCUGUGUAAAAGAAAUUUGGACACAGAGAUAGGCAUGCAUGGAGGGAAGAUGAUGUAAAUCCACACAGGAGAAAACGGCUAUGUGAAGAUGGGGGCAGAAAUUGGAGUUAGGAAGCCAUAAGCCAAGGAAUGCCUGGGGCCACCAGAAACUAGGAGAGCCAUGGAACAGAUUCUUCCUCAUAGCUCUUAGGAGGAACCAAUCCUGUUGACACUUUGAUUUUGGACUUGUAGCCUUCAGAACUAUGAGACGAUAGGCCACUCAGUUUAUGGUACCUUGUUAUGGCAGCCCCAGGUAAUUAAUACACUCUGCUUACACCAAACCUAGGAACUUUUCAUGUUUCCUCCAGUCCUUUGCUGUCUAUUGAGAAGUAAAAUUUCAGACUCCCUAAAAUGUCCUUAACUCUAUCCUCCACCCAGUUUCCUCUGCACAGCUGUAGAUGAAUGGUAGGUAAAUAUAGUCCUCGUUGGGAGGAUUCUUACUUGUCCAGAAAGGUUGAACUGUGUAAGUGACAUGAAUUGUAAUGCAGAUUACUUCAUGUCAGGACCAGUAAAACCUUGAACCUUAAGCAUCUCCCAGAUAAAGGAAUAUUGACAGAUCUUAACUAUGGAGACGGUGUUGUGAUAAUAACCAAUUCAACGCAGAAUAUUGCUUUUUUCCAAGGAAGAUUCAAGUAGGGAGUCAAUAACAUGAACUUUCACAUCAGCUAGUCCAAGAUGAAAUACUAGCAUGGGCAUCGAUUAAUCAAGAUGGUCUUGUCCCUUGUGUUCUUGUCUUGGGAAAGAACUUAGUUCAGUAUCUUUAAGAUUUAUUCACCUUGUAUUUGUACUGAUCACAUUCAUUGAACUGCAGACUGGAGCCAAGAACUAUAUUCUGAAGCUGAGCUGGUGAUAGGCAGUCUGUCUCAGUCCUUGGAGUAAAUCCAGCCAUCUUAAAUAUUGAAGUGUUACUUUAUGAUGCCCUGGAGACAUUUUCAUCAUGCCAUAUUCUUUGUGAUCUGCUGAGACCAACCACUGAAUUUGAAUGCUUUUCCAAGACAGGUAGAUUCUCUCAGCAAAAAUUACUUAAAAAGCUGGUGUGAAUGACUGAUAGAAAAAUACCUAUCUGGACAUUUAAGAAAUAUAAAUAAAAUAUACCUGGUGGAAAGAAAAAAUUAUUUUGACUUAACACGUGUAUAAUUAUGUCCAUACCCAUAUUCGUACACAGAUUUUCUUUGAGUCCAGUUUAUGCACCUAUAGAGAAAGGACUGGAGCUUUAAAAACUCAUUUGCAUGUUCAUGAGUACUUUACUUUAUAUCGUCAUGGUCCUUUACCAGUUAGAUACUGUUAAUUACCACUGCUACUACUCCUAACAUUAGCAUUUAGUGGGUAUUUACUGAGUAACAGGCAAUGUGAUAAUUGCUCUUUCUACAUAGUCCCUUUUAAUUCCUUUGACAACCCUAUGAAGUAUAUCUCUUUGUCUCCAUUUUACAGACUAGGAAACCAAGUCUUAGCAAUAUUAAGUAGCUUGGACAAGGUCACACGGUGAGUGAUGAUGCAGGGAUUAGAGAUCCAGAUCUUUCUGAUCCCAAAGCUUGUAUUCUUAUCCACUUUGCACUUCAAUCUCAAGUGUACUGUUAAGUACAAAACCUCUUAUUGGUAAAGGCUCAACUCUGACAGUCCACUUUCAAUUGGCAGAGAUCAGUUCAGAGCUGACAUGUGUACAAGGAAGUAGCAGGAUGCCUCAGGGACUGAGUAAUGCAAAAGCAGCACCAAUGGAGAGAAAAGCCAUUCCUGGCACUAAACCGCCAGCAACAGCACCUUUAAAUAAACAUAAUGGACACCAUAUGCUAACUAACUUGGAUGUAAAUUAGACAAUAAAAAAUUUUUUUAAAAAGGAAAAAAAAGGAAACGUAAUGGGGACUCAGUCCCUUGUGUAUACCUCAUGUAGCCAUAGCCAGUGACUGAGAAUCUUGUGUAAUGAGGGUACAAUUCAGGAGGUGACCAUCCAAUGCAAUACUACAAGGGACAGGAACAUUCAGAGUGUGCAGAACAGGUAGAGGAAGGCUAGAAAACUUGGGUGACUGAGAAGAAGAAAUGGGUGGGAUGGAAAUGGAAAUAACUCUUGGCCAAGAAAAGGAAUUAUAAGAAACCCAUAUGUAUUUUAAAACAUGGCCAUGAGUCCUUUGAUGCCCUUCUUAUGAAGACAUAGGGGUCUAUGCCUCUUCUGUUGAAUUGGGACAGGCUUGUGACUGCUUUGGCCAAAAGAAUAUUAUGGAAGUGAUGCUAUGUCACUUCUGAGGCUAGGUCACAAAAGACAUGGAACUUCUACCUCUCACUCUUGAGCCCUGAGACUCUAGGCAAGAAGUCCUAUUACCCUGAAGCUGCCAUACUGGCAGGGUCAUGUUCAGGUGCUCUGGCUGAUAGUCCCAGUGUUACAGCCACUUGCCUUCCCCUAUAAGGUGCCAGACAUGUGAUUGAGGCCAUCUGUCAGCUGAAUGCAGCAGCAUGAUCACCAUCAACAUCAUGUGGAAUAGGUGAAUCACCCAGCUGAGCCCAGCCCAAAUUCCUGAUAGACAAAAUCAUCAACAACAGAUAAGUGGAAUCCCUAAAAAUGGGGCCGUGAGUGAGAAGAGUCACUGGUAUUGCAAGAUGUAGAGAGUAUCUAAAGACUUCUCAUUUCUGAAUAGCUCUACCUCUGAUCAUGCCUGAAAUUCCAUUACAAAUCUAUUUCUUGAAGGUGUGUUUUAAUUUGUGGGGGCUGAAAAGGAUACUGAACACUAGUGACCAAGGACUCUCAAAUGCUAUGACUGAGAAGGCAGUAAAGCAAGGACUCUCCCUCAGAAGGAAGCCAUGGAUGUUCUGACACCCCAGGACAACGCACCUGAGUAGGACCGUGGUGGGCGAAGGGAAAAUGCCUGACACCUGGUAUCUACCCCUCAGGAUGGACUGAUGUUUGCCGAUGCUUUUCCCUGGGGAACAGUCUCCCGCACUUCCAUGGUGGAAUGAAAAACUUGGCCUGAGGUUUUAGCCAUCGUGAACAGCUGGCUCCUUGGAGGGGGACUCUGCAGGACACUGCUAGCUGUCUAUAAAUAACGAAUGGUUCUACAGAGAGAAGAGGACUCUGAGACCACCAGAUAGUGGUUGAUAUCCACUGCCGCCUCUACCCCAAUCUGUCUAUUUCUGUCUCAUCUAUUUCUGUCUAUCCAUUAUCUAUCUAUCCAACCAUCAAUCAUCUGUUAUCUAUCCAUAUAUAUCAAUCAAUUAUCUAUCAUCUAUCACAUUUAUCUAUCCAUCUAUUAACUAUUUAUGCAUCCAUCCAUCAUAUGAAUUAUGUAUGUAUGUAUGUAUGUAUGUAUGUAUGUAUCUAUCUAUCUAUCUAUCUAUCUAUCUAUCUAUUACCCUUCCAUUCAUCUUUCCAUCUAUGAUCUCAGAUUAAAUUGAAUUCAAAGACACUGUUGCAGCGCACCUGGGUGGCUCAGUCAUUAAGCAUCUGACUUUAGCUCAGGUCAUGACCUCACAGUUCAUGAGUUCGAGUCCCACAUUGGGUGACCUGGAGCCUCGCUUCAGGUGGGCAUGAGCCCCGCUUCAGAUUGUCCUGUGCUUCCUUGAUGACUACAAAUAUAUGUUGAACCACCUAAAUCUACAGAUUCAUUACAAGUGCCACUUCAUAUUCAGAGAGAGUGAUUUUUUUUCUCCCUUUAUGUGGACCCCUCUGGGAUGUCUCCAGCGGAGCAAGAGCCAGACCUACCUUGUUCAUAGUUUUCUUCAUACGAAAUGCAUUGCUUAGCACCUUGUAGGAGCUUCAUUGUAUAUAUGUGGAAUCACUGAAUCAACAUAAAAGGAAGGAUAAAACUUUGGCGUUGAUAAAAGAAGAGCAACAGCAAAUCCCACCCCUGCCAUUUACUGGCCUGUUAACUUCUCUCUGCCUGAAUUUCCUCAACUGCUAAGUGGGAAGGAUCGUGAUAAUCACAGCAUGUACCUCGCGAUACCUUGAUUUCUCGGGCUGUGCUUCCUGCAACAUGGAGGGUGUGUAACAGCACAGUGCUCAUGAGGGAACUUCAGCCAUGUCUGUCUUGGGCCAUCGCACAGAUGAUUCCUGCAUUUGGGAGCACUUCUUGAGCCAGGCCAUAUGCUCAGCAUCAAGGGAGCUUCAUGUGUUCCGUCUGGAGCACUGGGAAUAAUGAGAUCCUGAACCGCAAAGGGCAGAGUCCCUGGAAAGCAGCCAUACUUGGUGGAGUGGCCAUUAAUCCCACAGAAAUGAGAGGGGCUGGAUAAAGAGAAGAAAAAAAAGGCUUCUCAUCUUCAGGCUUCUUCGAGGAGAAAAUUUAUGGUCUCUGGACUAGAGGACCUAUGUUCCAGGUUUUGCAGGGUCUGGUUAGAGUCCACCUGGUUCCUGAGCAAAUCCUACUUUAGUAACAACAAAAUUCGAUUAAUCAUCAUCGUCGUCGUCGUCGUCGUCAUCAUCAUCAGUAGCAGCAGCAGCAGACACCCAACAUUUCUCAAACAAAGAAUAGUUUACAAAUACCUUCAUGUGUGGGGAACCAUUUGCUCUUCUUCAACUGCCUUCUACGGCCAGGCGGGGUAUGUAAGAAUGUUAUCAGGACAGAGCCACUACUUGGUGUAGAUCAAUGCAAACUGUGAUGCCGUGUUCACUAUACCCUUAAAUGAGACCUAUACCUGAGGAAUCCUUUCUCGAGAUGGGCUCAGACAUUAUGGAUAUGAGAGGAAGUCUGCUAGCCUGGAGCAUGAAAACAGCAAGGAUUGAAAUAUAUAAGCAGAGAGAAGAAUUCUGUACGUUAGUGUUAUGUUUCUGAGUUUCUCCUGGGACGAGGGUGAUUCAUUAUAUAAACAGGGAUGAGAUCACAUGGGCCGAUCAGGUCUAUAAUAAAUCUUGAGACAACUCCGGGAAGGGUACUCUGUGGUGUUAGCAAUCAAAUGUAAGGAGACCACACCAUCCCCUUCUUAAGUAUCAACAGCAACAAAGUGAAAGCACACAGGUGUCUGAUUUGUUCUUUCUAAUUCGCUAUGAUGACUUGGGGAAGUGUGGCUGCCAAGUGCCGGCUCCUAGUGUGCAUAAAGGCAGUGACUUCAUGAGAACUAUCAGAAGAUUAAAAAAUUCAAAGACAAAGGAUGACAAGAAAGAUGAACUGAACUAAAGUAAUUAGUGUUCAUCACAGUACUAUGUGCUGCUGUAUUGACCCGCUAUGAUCAGUUCCGACAAGAGGCCACGAAUAUGCGUACAAAAUGGAAGAAACUGAACAAGGUGGAGAGGUGGGUUGGAGAAGAGGGGAAGUGCCUCUGGGCCACCAUGGCUAUCUGUGACCAGGCAGGCACUACACCAGUACAUUUUAAUGCCUUUGUAUUUGUCCUUACACUUGGCCAGUCCUAUUAGUAAGUGACAUGCUUGAUGGUUUGUUGUUUUCCUUAAUUUCCUAGAGAAAAGGUCUCUGAAAACUCUAAACCUUUCUGAGUGAAACUAAAAGAAACAGUUCCCCCCCGCCCCCCCAUCACACUCCCACCCACCCGCCCUGCCUGCAUUUCUCAGUUUUGACUGAGGGUCCUGGAUGAAAAGUUUGUAGGAAGCAGAAAGUAGGGGGAUUAUCAGGGAUGGUGCUGCAUUGAAACCAAGGAAAGGAUGUAUUCUAGGGCAGAACAAUGUGGAGUAGUCUCACAGAGCUGAAUUGGCACACUAGCUCUGCUGUGAGAUCCUGAAGCACUUAAACCUUGUGAGACUCAGUUUCCUUACAGUAACAUUGAUCUAAUGAUGCCUGUUUUAAUUGGCUGUUUAAAGGUUUACAUGAAAUAACAUAUCUGUGAAGGGUCAAGAGGACUGUGUGGUAUACAGCAGGUACUCAGUCAUGGUAGCAGCUACUUCUACUACUCUUGUCACCCGCACUGCCACUAGAGCCAUCAGGUUGGAGAAAGCAAGAAACCAGGUUAGCUCUUGUCUGCCACUUUUCCAUUCUCUUGGAUCCUGUUAUUGGGGAUAGAAAGGGCAAGACUUCUCUCAACAAAACCAGUUAGAAACCCAUGACUCCAUUGUUUUAGCUAAAGAAGUCGGUCCUGCAAAGAUUUUACCAAUAGUAGUUUAAAAGUGCUUUGGUCUGGGAGGCUACACCAGGCACUAGAAUUCUGAUUCCAGGUAUGUUCCCAACUGCAGUUCAACUGUUCAGCCAUUGUGAUGACAUGCCUUAGUUUUCUGAACUUCAGUUUGCCUUUUGCUAAAUGAGACUGGAACUAGAUCUCAAUCCAAUCAAAUUGGUAGAAAUGUUUGAGUAACAAAGGCCAAAUAGCAAAAGAUUUCUUGUGUAUUUCUUCUGCUCUCUUGUCUCCCACUUUUGCCACAAACACACACAUUCCGUUGCUCUUUUUACAAUAAAGGUUUUGAUACAGUGAAGACACAACUGGGGAGCCCAUGCGUCCAUUUGUUCACUUACUCAAGGACCCUUUCUGAGCACUUAUUACAUGUCAGGCAUUGACCUAUUUAGGGAAGUGCUUGGGCUCCCCCAGGCAUUGUAAUGGAGGGUGCAUGAAUCAUGGCUUCAUAUAUGAUCUGGCAGCAUAAGAACUUUGUAAGUGGAAACAGUGGGUCAGGAAGCAAGGAGGCAAAGUCAGUCUCUGCACAAUGAGAGACUGAGCUUGGAAUGGUGCACUGUGAUCUGGGAACCUCAUUAUUAGCAAGUUGGAGACACACUGGAGAGUGUUCAGAGAAAAGCCACAAGGAUGAUAAACGGGCGGAAAGACUGAUUUAUGAAGACUUACACAACAAAAUAUGUAUUCUUGGAUCAACAAAGACUUCAGAAGAAAGUGAUCACUAUCAACAACUCUCUGAAGGUUGUGAAUUCCCCAGAGGCACCCCAGAGGUGUUUGCCUGAUAUGUGAAAUGUGACAAGGAAUCAGAAGAUGGCAAAUUUAACCUGUGGAUCAGGGAAAAAUGAGAAAUAUAAAUCUAUCCAGGCCUUAUUGAUGGGAAGUAGCUUCCAAGGGCAAUAUCCUUAAUCUGUUUUAUCUCCUAUAUACAUUUCUGCAGUUGUAAUUAUGCAAAUCAUUUGUUGUUUCUUUAUGUUCAGGGGUUUUAUGUGUGUUUCCUAUUUACACACACCUUCCCUGAAGAUGUCAAGAAUGAAAUAUUUGAUUUUUUUUUGUAACCUUCCACUUCAAAGGCUUAAAGAUAAAAGCAGUUGAGUUAUGGACAAAUUGUUUUUUUAAACCAAAGUUUGCAUGCUUAACCUUUGUUGAAAGUCGUUGUCAUAAUGUGAAUUUUAUUCCUAUGAAAAGCCAGAUGGGUGACUCUUUACAAAACUAUCCCUCAGUGACCUGAUCAACAGUUUUACGCACACACACACACACACACACACACACACGCAUACACAUGAUACACCAUAAAGCUUUCAAAGGA